rnacentral:rRNA from 1 species
UGUUAAGGAACUCGGCAAAUUACCCCCGUAACUUCGGGAGAAGGGGGGCCACAGACUGUCAUACCCCACGCGGGUGGCAGCAGUAGGUGGCCGCAGAGACCAGGGGGAAGCGACUGUUUACUAAAAACACAGGUCCGUGCGAAGUCGUAAGACGAUGUAUACGGACUGACGCCUGCCCGGUGCUGGAACGUUAAGGGGACCGGUUAGUCCGCAAGGGCGAAGCUGAGAACUUAAGCGCCAGUAAACGGCGGUGGUAACUAUAACCAUCCUAAGGUAGCGAAAUUCCUUGUCGGUAAGUCCCGACCUGCACGAAUGGCGUAACGACUUCCCUACUGUCUCAACCACAGGCCCUGCGAAAUUGCACUACGAGUAAAGAUGCUCGUUACGCGCGGAAGGACGGAAAGACCCCGGGACCUUCACUAUAGCUUGACAUUGGUAUCCGAAUUUAAUUGUGUAGGAUAGGUGGGAGGCUUUGAUCCGCGGACGCCAGUCCGUCGGGGAGCCAACGUUGAAAUACCACUCUGUUGACUUUGGGUAUCUAACUUCGGACCGUGAUCCGGUUCAGGGACAGUGUCUGGUGGGUAGUUUAACUGGGGCGGUUGCCUCCUAAAAUGUAACGGAGGCGCCCAAAGGUUCCCUCAGCCUGGUUGGCAAUCAGGUGUUGAGUGCAAGUGCACAAGGGAGCUUGACUGUGAGACUGACAGGACGAGCAGGGACGAAAGUCGGGACUAGUGAUCCGGCACCUGCGAGUGGAAGCGGUGUCGCUCAACGGAUAAAAGGUACCCCGGGGAUAACAGGCUGAUCUUCCCCAAGAGUCCAUAUCGACGGGAUGGUUUGGCACCUCGAUGUCGGCUCGUCGCAUCCUGGGGCUGGAGUAGGUCCCAAGGGUUGGGCUGUUCGCCCAUUAAAGCGGCACGCGAGCUGGGUUUAGAACGUCGUGAGACAGUUCGGUCCCUAUCCUCCGCGCGCGUAGGAGACUUGAGAAGAGCUGUCCCUAGUACGAGAGGACCGGGACGGACGAACCUCUGGUGUGCCAGUUGUCAUGCCAAUGGCACGGCUGGUUAGCUACGUUCGGAAGGGAUAACCGCUGAAAGCAUCUAAGCGGGAAGCUCGCUUCAAGAUGAGGUCUCCCACCCCUUAGAGGGUUAAGGCCCCCAGCUAGACCACUGGGUUGAUAGGCCAGAAGUGUAAGCCUGGUAACAGGUUCAGCCGACUGGUACUAAUAGGCCGAGGACUC